rnacentral:rRNA from 1 species
UACGGAAGGCAGCAGUGGGGAAUAUUGCACAAUGGGCGCAAGCCUGAUGCAGCCAUGCCGCGUGUAUGAAGAAGGCCUUCGGGUUGUAAAGUACUUUCAGUCGUGAGGAAGGUGUUAAGGUUAAUAACCUUAGCAAUUGACGUUAGCGACAGAAGAAGCACCGGCCAACUCCGUGCCAGCAGCCGCGGUAAUACGGAGGGUGCGAGCGUUAAUCGGAAUUACUGGGCGUAAAGGGCACGCAGGCGGUUAAUUAAGUUGGAUGUGAAAUCCCCGGGCUUAACCUGGGAAUGGCAUUCAAGACUGGUUAGCUAGAGUCUUGUAGAGGGGGUAGAAUUCCAUGUGUAGCGGUGAAAUGCGUAGAGAUGUGGAGGAAUACCGGUGGCGAAGGCGGCCCCUGGACAAAGACUGACGCUCAUGUGCGAAAGCGUGGGGAGCAAAC